AGAGUUUCGAUCCGUGCGUCAGGACAACGCUGGCGGCGUGCUAACACAUGCAAGUCGAACGAAGACUUGAUGAUGGAUUUCUUCGGAAAGAAAUCUGAUAUGACUGAGUGGCGGACGGGUGAGUAACGCGUGAGUAACCUGCCCUUGGAAAGGGAUAGCGUCUGGAAACGACGGUAAUACCAUAUAAAGUAUAUUAACGGCAUCGUAGAUAUACCAAAGCUGAGGCGCCUAAGGAUGGACUCGCGUCUGAUUAGAUAGUUGGUGGGGUAACGGCCUACCAAGUCGACGAUCAGUAGCCGGACUGAGAGGUUGAACGGCCACAUUGGGACUGAGACACGGCCCAGACUCCUACGGGAGGCAGCAGUGGGGAAUAUUGCACAAUGGGCGAAAGCCUGAUGCAGCAACGCCGCGUGAAGGAAGACGGUUUUCGGAUUGUAAACUUCUGUCCUUAGUGAAGAAUAAUGACGGUAACUAAGGAGCAAGCCACGGCUAACUACGUG
rnacentral:rRNA from 1 species